rnacentral:rRNA from 1 species
UGCGGCAGGCCUAACACCUGCAAGUCGAACCGUAACAGGAAGAAGCUUGCUUCUUUGCUGACGAGUGGCGGACGGGUGAGUAAUGUCUGGGAAACUGCCUGAUGGAGGGGGAUAACUACUGGAAACGGUAGCUAAUACCGCAUAACGUCGCAAGACCAAAGAGGGGGACCUUCGGGCCUCUUGCCAUCGGAUGUGCCCAGAUGGGAUUAGCUAGUAGGUGGGGUAACGGCUCACCUAGGCGACGAUCCCUAGCUGGUCUGAGAGGAUGACCAGCCACACUGGAACUGAGACACGGUCCAGACUCCUACGGGAGGCAGCAGUGGGGAAUAUUGCACAAUGGGCGCAAGCCUGAUGCAGCCAUGCCGCGUGUAUGAAGAAGGCCUUCGGGUUGUAAAGUACUUUCAGCGGGGAGGAAGGGAGUAAAGUUAAUACCUUUGCUCAUUGACGUUACCCGCAGAAGAAGCACCGGCUAACUCCGUGCCAGCAGCCGCGGUAAUACGGAGGGUGCAAGCGUUAAUCGGAAUUACUGGGCGUAAAGCGCACGCAGGCGGUUUGUUAAGUCAGAUGUGAAAUCCCCGGCUCAACCUGGGAACUGCAUCUGAUACUG